rnacentral:rRNA from 1 species
UCAAGUGAAUAAGUGCAUCAGGUGGAUGCCUUGGCGAUGAUAGGCGACGAAGGACGUGUAAGCCUGCGAAAAGCGUGGGGGAGCUGGCAAUAAAGCUAUGAUCCCGCGAUGUCCGAAUGGGGAAACCCACCUCUUAGGAGGUAUCCUUAUCUGAAUACAUAGGAUAAGCGAAGCGAACCCGGAGAACUGAACCAUCUAAGUACCCGGAGGAAAAGAAAUCAACCGAGAUUCCGCAAGUAGUGGCGAGCGAACGCGGAGGAGCCUGUACGUAAUAACUGUCGAGAUAGAAGAACAAGCUGGGAAGCUUGACCAUAGUGGGUGAUAGUCCCGUAUUCGAAAUCUCAAUAGUGGUACUAAGCGUACGAAAAGUAGGGCGGGACACGUGAAAUCCUGUCUGAAUAUGGGGGGACCAUCCUCCAAGGCUAAAUACUCAUCAUCGACCGAUAGUGAACCAGUACCGUGAGGGAAAGGCGAAAAGAACCCCGGGAGGGGAGUGAAAUAGAACCUGAAACCUGAUGCAUACAAACAGUGGGAGCACCCUUGUGGUGUGACUGCGUACCUUUUGUAUAAUGGGUCAACGACUUACAUUCAGUAGCGAGCUUAACCGAAUAGGGGAGGCGUAGGGAAACCGAGUCUUAAUAGGGCGAACAGUUGCUGGGUGUAGACCCGAAACCGAGUGAUCUAUCCAUGGCCAGGUUGAAGGUGCCGUAACAGGUACUGGAGGACCGAACCCACGCAUGUUGCAAAAUGCGGGGAUGAGCUGUGGAUAGGGGUGAAAGGCUAAACAAACUCGGAGAUAGCUGGUUCUCCCCGAAAACUAUUUAGGUAGUGCCUCGAGCAAGACACUGAUGGGGGUAAAGCACUGUUAUGGCUAGGGGGUUAUUGCAACUUACCAACCCAUGGCAAACUAAGAAUACCAUCAAGUGGUUCCUCGGGAGACAGACAGCGGGUGCUAACGUCCGUUGUCAAGAGGGAAACAACCCAGACCGCCAGCUAAGGUCCCAAAUGAUAGAUUAAGUGGUAAACGAAGUGGGAAGGCCCAGACAGCCAGGAUGUUGGCUUAGAAGCAGCCAUCAUUUAAAGAAAGCGUAAUAGCUCACUGGUCGAGUCGUCCUGCGCGGAAGAUGUAACGGGGCUCAAAUCUAUAACCGAAGCUGCGGAUGCCAGUUUACUGGCAUGGUAGGGGAGCGUUCUGUAGGCCGAUGAAGGUGCAUUGUAAAGUGUGCUGGAGGUAUCAGAAGUGCGAAUGUUGACAUGAGUAGCGAUAAAGCGGGUGAAAAGCCCGCUCGCCGAAAGCCCAAGGUUUCCUACGCAACGUUCAUCGGCGUAGGGUGAGUCGGCCCCUAAGGCGAGGCAGAAAUGCGUAGUCGAUGGGAAACAGGUUAAUAUUCCUGUACUUGAUUCAAAUGCGAUGUGGGGACGGAGAAGGUUAGGUUAGCAAGCUGUUGGAAUAGCUUGUUUAAGCCGGUAGGUGGAAGACUUAGGCAAAUCCGGGUCUUCUUAACACCGAGAAGUGAUGACGAGUGUCUACGGACAUGAAGUAACCGAUACCACGCUUCCAGGAAAAGCCACUAAGCUUCAGUUUGAAUCGAACCGUACCGCAAACCGACACAGGUGGGCAGGAUGAGAAUUCUAAGGCGCUUGAGAGAACUCAGGAGAAGGAACUCGGCAAAUUGAUACCGUAACUUCGGGAGAAGGUAUGCCCUCUAAGGUUAAGGACUUGCUCCGUAAGCCCUGGAGGGUCGCAGAGAAUAGGUGGCUGCGACUGUUUAUUAAAAACACAGCACUCUGCUAACACGAAAGUGGACGUAUAGGGUGUGACGCCUGCCCGGUGCUGGAAGGUUAAUUGAAGAUGUGCAAGCAUCGGAUCGAAGCCCCAGUAAACGGCGGCCGUAACUAUAACGGUCCUAAGGUAGCGAAAUUCCUUGUCGGGUAAGUUCCGACCCGCACGAAUGGCGUAACGAUGGCCACACUGUCUCCUCCCGAGACUCAGCGAAGUUG